rnacentral:rRNA from 1 species
AUGCCUUGUAGAGAUGAAAGAUCAUGUCAAAAGGUCAACAGAAUUGAAGUGAAACCACCUCAGUAUGAAAAACAUGUUGGUAGGCCAUCUAAGAAGAGAAGACAAAAUCAUGUUGAGAUGGAAGAAGGGGCAAAGAUGAGCAGACAUGGCGCUAUAUCCCAUUGUAGUGUGUGCAAUUCAACAGAGCACAACAAAAUAAAGUGCCCAAAUAAAGGUCAACAAGGGCAAUCACUCAGUGUUGAUAAGAGACCACAAACACAAGGAGGACAGAAGAGGAAGCUACAAGUGAAGAGAAACAUUCUUACACAGGUACAAUAA